rnacentral:rRNA from 1 species
GUCCACGCCCUAAACGAUGAUGACUAGUUGUUGGAGGAGUUAAAUCCUUUAGUAACGCAGCUAACGCGAGAAGUCAUCCGCCUGGGGAGUACGGUCGCAAGAUUAAAAACUCAAAGGAAUUGACGGGGGCCCGCACAAGCGGUGGAUGAUGUGGUUUAAUUCGACGCAACGCGAAAAACCUUACCUACCCUUGACAUGUACGGAACCUCACAGAGAUGUGAGGGUGCCCGAAAGGGAGCCGUAACACAGGUGCUGCAUGGCUGUCGU